UGGAGCUGGGUCCUGACUAGGGACCGCCUGGGUGAGGUGAGGACCUGGUGGCCGCAGUUGUGGCACUGUGCGCAGGCGCUGAACUGACCGGACGGAGCGGGCGGCUGUGGCCUCGCCAGCUGAAACCAGGUCUCCUUAUGUUGCCCAGGCUGGUCUUGGAACUCCUAGGCUCAAGUGAUCCUCCCGCCUCAGCCUUUGGAGUGGUUACAGGUUUAAAAAUAUCCUUUUUUGCUGAAGGAACACAUUUGCUGGUAUAGUUUCAGAAUGUCAAGUACUGUGUCCUACUGGAUCUUAAAUUCUACAAGGAACAGCAUUGCCACAUUGCAAGGGGGUAGACGCUUAUACUCCAGGUAUGUCUCAAAUAGGAAUAAAUUAAAAUGGAGGCUCUUUUCCCGGGUGCCACCCACCCUAAACAGUUCCCCAUGUGGUGGCUUUACUCUGUGCAAAGCCUACAGACACACAUCAACAGAGGAAGAUGAUUUUCACUUGCAACUCAGCCCUGAGCAGAUAAAUGAAGUGCUUCGAGCUGGCGAGACAACCCACAAGAUUCUUGACCUUGAAAGCAGAGUCCCAA
rnacentral:lncRNA from 10 species